GACGAACGCUGGCGGCGUGCCUAAUACAUGCAAGUCGAACGAAGCUGUUUUAACUGGUGCUUGCACCGACUUAAACAACUGAGUGGCGAACGGGUGAGUAACACGUGGGUAACCUGCCCCAAAGCGGGGAUAACAUUUGGAAACAGAUGCUAAUACCGCAUAACCACAGAAACCACAUGGUUUCUGUGUCAAAGAUGGUUUCGGCUAUCACUUUGGGAUGGACCCGCGGCGUAUUAGCUAGUUGGUAAGGUAAUGGGUUACCAAGGAAAUGAUACGUAGCCGAACUGAGAGGUUGAUCGGCCCCAUUGGGACUGAGACACGGCCCAAACUCCUACGGGAGGCAGCAGUAGGGAAUCUUCCACAAUGGACGAAAGUCUGAUGGAGCAACGCCGCGUGAGUGAAGAAGGUUUUCGGAUCGUAAAACUCUGUUGUCAGAGAAGAACGUGUGCGAGAGUAACUGUUCGUGCAGUGACGGUAUCUGGCCAGAAAGCCACGGCUAACUACGUGCCAGCAGCCGCCGCUG
rnacentral:rRNA from 1 species